AUUUGGUGGGCCCAUCUCCUCUAGCCAAAUCUGACUCCUCUGAAAGCAACCCAGGAGACAAGGUUUCACUGUGUGAUGGCAAGCAUGAAGGCCCCCAAGCCUCCCUGGGAAGGGCACACCUGGCUGGGCACCCAAGACUGUGAGUGUACGGAUGCCAACAAGCUGAAGCUGGGUGCUGGGGUCCGUCAGGGCCAUGAAUACCAGUGAGCACAGCUGGUCCUUGAAGUCACUCAGAGGCCUUUCAUCUAGGAAGAGACAGAGUCCAGCUGCCAUGGCCCCAUUACCCUGUAGAAUGUUGCUAAGGAAGGAGUCAAGGAGGUCCUCAGCAUCAGCCCUCAGCACAGAGCGAGACAAACACGCAGUCAGGGAGUUAAGGGCUGCCAGGCCCUCGGCCUCUACCCGCUCACUUGCCGUCUGGAACACCUGUCAGGGAGGGAUCCCAUGGCUACUGAGGUGAGCCUGCACCAGGUGAGACCCCACCCACCUACUGCCUAUUUCCUUUGCGGGGAGGGGGUGGUGAGAACCUUUGGGGCACAGCAAUGGAAAUUAACCCCCCAAAUGAGUUUCUUCUCAAUUGGUGUAUUCUCACUAAGUCCUCAGUCCCACUAGGAUUGAUACACAUACUUUUUGAGAAACUGAAUACAACUUUGAGCAGUGGUUGUUGGGAACCCCUUUCCUAAGUCUCUUCCUCUCCCGCUCUACUCAGCAUGACCUAUGCUCCUUACCAUGGAAGGACAGGAAUUGGGCACUGUGCGAGACUGAUCAUGUGCCACGACCAAACAGCUGACCCUACCUUGUCAUUCAACUAGAAGUAUGCCCCCUUGCUCUCUUGCUGAAUAACCAAGCACAGCAACAGAGGGAAAAGGAUACGGUGUGUUAUUUCCCCUCGUGCCUGACAACCAGGAGUUAAUGGUAGUGAGUUUAUCUAAGUAACACUCACCUCUCUGCGGAUAGAAGCCCAAAGGCUGGGGAGGAAGUCCUUUAGUUCUUUCUGUCCGUACACAGCACAGCAAGCAUUCUGCCAAGGAAAGCACAGGUAAUGGCUAUCUACACACUCAGACUUCCUAGGACGUGCAGGCCCCUCAGCAUAAUGGCACCUGAAAGACCCCGGCUCUCAGCAGUAAACCAGCAGGAUUUCAUAACCAUCCUACCCAGGUCACUGAAAAAUAGGAGCUUGUCCUGACUGAUGGAAAACAAGCAUGAAGAGGGAGCCCUGGUCAGCCUUUCCUCAGCUGCCACUCAGUUACUACAGAACAAGACAAAAUGCAACUGGGGGCUUUAGGUCAACAUAUAGGCCCGGAUUCUGGGUAUCCCUCUCUUGAGGCCAAUGAACUAUUCCCUGGCUCUCCAAGAAUCAAUUCAUAAUCCUUUAGCACCCCUAAAUUGUCUAAAGACAGCUGGAUCCUCAAAAGAGAACAAUCACUCACCAGAGUCUGCAGAGAAUCCAGCUUGGCACUCAGAAUCUCGGAAUCCACUUUCUCAAUCAGCAGGGGGAGCAGGAACUGUGGGAGAGAAGGAAGAACUAAAGAGUGAGAUAUGGGUAGUGCUGCAGCCACACCAAGGCCAACCAUGUCCUCACUGCCACCAGUUCCCAGGGGUAGGUGUUACAUCAAGGAGCUAUACUCGAGUCGAGAGUAGUGACUGUAAACCAACCUCCCUCUCAAUCCAUGGCCAGACUCCCAGUGACCUGAGAAGUGGGCUAGCUGGCAAAGCUAAAGAAUUUCAAAAGAUAGCACCAAAUAGGGAUUGGUUUACUAUUUUAAAUGAAGAGAUGGUGAAGUUUUUUACUUCGAAGGUCUGAAGACACUUGCAAGAUGCCAUAACCUAAAAUGUAUACUGGAACUUUCUUUUCCCCCAUGCUUUUACUGUUCUUUCUUCAGACCCUUCUGUG